UCAGAAUGCUAUUUUUUUUCAUCUUUCUCUCACACAGACACUCUCUCCUACCGUCUAAAAUGUCAGAUUUUUUUUCUCUCUUACAAUUUUUCUCUUCCUCCGUCUUCUGUGAGAACCAUUUUUUCUCUUCUUUUCUCUCACAAUCUCUCUCUCUCUUCGUCUGGUGUCAGGUACCGAUUUUUUUCCCUCUCUCACGAACUCUCUCUCCAUACGUCUUUGUUGUCAUAUUUGGAUUUUUUUUUAUCUUUCUCUCACAAUUUUUCUUUCUCCUACGUCGUUUGUUAAUUAAUUUCUUCUUCUUCUCUCUCUCUCUCCGCCACACCAGGCAGGAGGAAAGGAGCGAUAGGCACGCGACAAGGAACGACAAGCGGGAUAAGGAAACGACAGUUGCAGGAGAGCCAAUGAAUGAUGGUUUGGAUUUAACGAAUGAUGGUUUUAUAAUAUCAAUGAUGAACUAAGCUUUCUUAUUUAUAUGAUUGCAUUAUGACCUUUAGUAUUUUCAGCUUUGAUAUAUGAAAAAUCAGAUGUAUUUUGCUUGUCUUUGGUAGCUGAUGAAGCACGAAAUCUGCUACCAGUAGGCUUGCGGGAUUGCGAGGAGGGCCGGAGGCUUUGGAGUCCACGACGCGCGCUCUACGUCAAUGUACCUGCAGAGAAGAAGGGAGUCGGCGACUCAGGUGUGGAAGUCGGCGACUCGGGCUCCUUAGUUGCUCUGGUUGGAGUGUGUGUCAAGUGUUUGUGGAGGGGAUGUAUUUAUGAAUAAGGAUCCCCCUAGGGCCCCUUUUAUAGGGUCUUUCGGGCGUUUCUCAUUCAUUACCAAUGGGGCUCACGCUAUUAUGGUUCCCUAUUAAAGGUGCCAUAAUGGCGUGGGCCAAGUCAAGUAACGGCUGGGAGUCGGCGACUCAGGUAUGGGAGUCGGCGACUCAGGGUGAAGCCAUCGAUUCCCCAUGAGCCAGGUUGGCAGCCUACAUGAACUGACCAACGAGGCGUGGAAUCGGUGGCUCACCUCUGGAGUCGGCGACUUGGUAGUCCCAGUCGUUGAUUCCCAGUGUUGACUUGAGUAUUUGACGUAGACACUUGCCCGCAACCGUGGAUCUCUCCGGAGGUCCGGCAUAAAGCGACGGAACCCUAGUCUUUGUUGAAAGGCGUUGCUGGGAGUGACUGACGUAAUCAGGCAUGUCUCACCAGUAGCUCUGACAGAUAAGCCAGUCUAGCUACUGAAUGUUUUUAUGACUUUGAAUAGUCCAAGUAACCCUGAAAUUAAAGAUGGACAGGAACAAUAUAUUGAAAUCCGAUGGAUAAAACGACGUGACCAUCACCCAGGGGGCGGUGUAGAUGCCCUCGAGCAACACUUGUUGAUCGACGGGAAUCUUUUGGGAUGGAGGGCCCCUAAGUUGUUGAUGUCUGAGAGACUAACUGACCCGGAGGAUUACCUACACUUAUUCCGUACAUGCAUGGACGAUAUGACAGACCUAAGGGAUAUUCGGUUCUAUAUAUUCCAGAGAAAAUAUGCAUGGUAAGGGACCACUCGAGAAGUCGGAUGGACCCUAGGUCCAAGGAUUACUCAAAGACCGUUCGAGCUAUUAGGCCAACACACCCGAAGACAAGGAAAUGUCCAGAGGGAGAGGUCGCUCGUAAAUUUGGAUGAAUCCUAGGUCCAUAGACCGAUUGAAUUUCGUACGACCUAUUGGGCCAAUACUCGAAGGCAAGGAAAUAUGCAAGGGGAGGGGCCGCUCGAAAAUCUAUACAGACCUAAGGUUCAUGAAGCCCUCGAAGGUGCUUUCGGUAGAAAAGCCAGACGGAGCAAGCCUCGUAUAUUAUUAGGGGUCCCCUCUGGGAUGGGGGCGUAGAGUGGGGAGAUUGGCGAGUAGAUCUUUUAACUUCCAAAAUGCCUUUUCGCAGGCUUCAAUCCAAACUAGUCUUUUGCCAUCCGUUUUUAGAAGAUGGAAAAAUGGGCGUAGGUGGUCUGCUCUUCUUGACAUGAAGCGGUUGAGAGUGGCUACCUUCUCGUUAAGCCUUUCUACUUUUUAUGGUUCUUGGUGGGGUCAUGAUCCUAACGGCUUCCGUUUAUUCUUUUCGUGCUUUUAUCCCAUCCGGAGUUAUCCAAAAUCCAAAGAAAUGGUUUUUUUUACCUUUAACUUCAGGCCCACCCUCCGUAUGUUAUCGAACGUUUCUUCCAGGUCUCGUAGAUGGUCUCCUAUUCUUUGUGAUCUGGCCAGUAAAUCAUCUAUAUAGACUUCAAUAUUUUUGCCGAUUUGACUUUCAAAAAUCCGAUCCAUCAAUCUCUGGAAGGUGGUCCUGGUGUUUUGGAGGCCAAACGACAUGAUUCAGAAGCAGAAGGUGCUCAUCUCGAUCACGAAUGACGUUUUUUCCUCGUUCUAUGUGAACAAGAUGGUUUUCAAUAUUCUUAUCCUCUUUCCCUCGGUUUUCCAAGUUAGGUCUGAUGCGUACGUACCUGGAAUGCCUCUCCCCUAGAUAUGGCCAAUAUCUUGUCCAUUUGUUCCUCUUGAGGCUCUUGUUUUGGGACCUUGUGCCCUGUUGGGAUGAUCGACCACCGUUCUUCCUAUCUAAGUGUAUGAUGGUGGUAGGGCAUUGGACGUUGAUCUCAAUCUAAUCAGCAGUUUGUCCAAGUCUAAGCAUUCUGUCAUUGUGCGGCCUCGAUCUUCGUGGUACUCAUAAUACUGAUUGUUAUCUAAUAAUUCUAUAGAAGACAAAAACUAGAGUUUAAGGAUUGAGAUAACAUUGAAGUGUUGAGAUAACACUGUUUUCUCACGACCAAUAAAUAAAAUAGUCACUGAUAUUUCCGUGGUCCUCGUUAUUUCUAUAAGAUGAUGAAUCAAUUAACCAAAUUGUAUCUGAUAUUCGUCUGAGUAUUAUAUACUUAUAGCUAUAGAUUACAUACUGUUAUAACCAAUUAUUAUCUAAAUAAUCCAUAGUUGCCUUAACUAAUUAUGCCAGCAGUGGAGCCACGUGGAUUCUCCAACACACCCCUUUCAUCCUUCAUAGAGUCCCACUGGAGCUUCGUCGACGAUAUUUUCUUGUAGGAUAGAAAAUCUUCUAAGUGGCAGUGGCUUGGUCAAAAUGUCCGCUCACUGCUCACGCCCGGGAAUGUGCUUAACGAUAAUGUCUCCGCUUUGUACCUUCUUGGGGAUGAAGUAGAGAUCAAGAGCUACAUAUGUUUGAGCUUUAUAUGCCCGAUUGGAUUUUUCGCAAUGAAAGUAGCUUCUAAGUUAUCCGAUAGACUCACCAUAGGUCGCGGCACCUCUACCCCCAACUCAAUCAGUGCUGAGCAAACCGCUUCUAUCUCCUGAGUCGUAGUGGCUAUCGCACGGUACUCGGCCUCCGUACUUGAUCGAGCCAGUGUGCUCUGUUUCCGAGAUACCCAUGAUACUAACGUUCCUCCCACGUACACUAAGAAUCCCGUGCGAUUUUUACGAUCGACCGUGUCCUCUCCCCAGUCGGCGUCACAAUACGCUGUGAUCCCGAAAUCGUUGACCCACCGUAGUACGAUCCCGUGCCUUUGAGUUCUGAAUAGGUAACACAAAACGCGCUUUACAACCACCCAAUGUACCAUCGUUGGUUCUGUCAUAAACUGGGCGAGCCGAUUAACCACAACCUGGACUUCCGGCCUUGUUAGAGUAAUGAAUUGUAACGACCCUAUAAUCCAUUGAAAUUCACCAGGGUCGUCGAUAACAGGUUCGUCUAAGCGAAGCUCGAUAUCUGCAAGCAUUGGAGUGGAGACGGCCUUCAGUUCCCCUAUGUUACAACUCCGGAGAAGAUUCAGAAGAUACUGGUUUGUGAUAAAUGUAACCCAUCCUUGACGUGCCUGACCUGGAUGCCAAGAAAAUAUUCCAGAGUACCUAGGUCGCGUAUGGAAAAUUUCGCGCCCAAUCUGUUUAUCACCUUCUUGACUUCUUCUUCAUUCGAUCCCACUAUUACUAUAUCGUCGACAUAGACGAACAAAAACAUUGUGAUUGAACUUUUCUGAUAAUUGAAUAACGAAGGAUCAACUGCAGAUUCCUUGAACGACAAUGUUCCCAAGAACCCACUCAAUUUUUGGAACCAACACCUCGGUGAUUGUUUAAGUCCAUACAGAGACUUAUAAAGGAGGCAGACCUUAUCAAGAUUUUGGUUAUCGAUAAACCCAUACGGUUGUGAAACAACAAUUCUCUCCUUGAGGUUGUCGUGUAGAAAAGCGUUUGACACAUCGACUUAAUGAAGCACCCAUCCUCUGGAUAUUGCCAAUAGUAACACCAGUCGAAUCGACAACGGACGAACAACCGGACUAAAAGUAUCAAAGUAGUCCACGCAGUGAAUCUGUCGUAACCCAUUAGCAACCAAACGCGCCUUGAAUCAUUAUACUGUUCUUUCUACCUUGGAUUUAACUUUAAACACCCACUUGGUGUUAAUUAUAUUGUCUUCUGGUAGACGCGGUACUAGGGUCCAUGUUUCAUUUUCUUGGAGUGCGUUGUAUUCUUUUACCAUGGCGUCCUUCCAUUGAGGAACAAGGAGAGCCGAUUUUGCAGACUUCGAGAUUGAAACCUCAUAUGUCGUUGUUGCCAAGGCGAACUUCGGAUUGGGUUUAAAGAUCCCAACGGAACUUCUGGUGACCAUAGCAGUACGCUGGUUCGAUGAUCAUCAGAUUCUUCAAAGUCAUUCUCAUUCAUCGGAAGAUCAGUAGCCACGGAGUACGAGUCCAGCUCAGCUGAUAUUCCCGUCAAUCGGUCAGGCACGUGUACCAAGUGUAAAAACCCUCAUGAAAUUAAAGUUAAAAAAAAAAAUAAAUAAAUAAAUAAAUAAAUAAAAGGAGUCUUGUUGGGUAAAUAUGUACUAAGGCCAAUUAAGCCAUUAAAUCAAGAUGUGGGGACAUGAGCCCUAAUUAAACUAUUAUAUAAUGGGAAGAUGUAGAGGUCUAGGAGGAGAGGAACGGAUGAGAAGGAAAAGAAGAGAAGAGAAAAGAAAAGAAGGAAAGGAAAUAAACCAAUCGAUCUUAAGGGGAGAUUUCGAUCUUGGUGUGGAGGAUGUGAGCUGAUCAAUAAGGUAUGGGUUUAGAAUAUGUUCUUAUGAUUUUCUGUAAAUCUUUGGGGUUUAAGUAGUAUGAUUCUAUUGAUAGAUAGAAAUAGAAACAUGAUUAGGUUAUGUGUUACAUGAAAUAGUUCAACAAGUGAUACAUAUAUAUCCAUUGAAGAUGGGAUGGAUUGAUAGGUGGAUUAGAGUAUGACCAUUUCUGAAAAAUCUGAUGAUAUUCAGAUAUUGGAGUUGGGUCCUUUCUACUGUUUGGUGUUGCAUUUUAUUUAGAAUUAAAUUUGCUGGAUUUAAUCUAAUUCUAUCAAAUUUUCAGAGAUUUGAAGGUGGGUGUUGUUGUCAUAAUUUUAAAGAUUUUAGAUAUUUUAUGAUUGAUUUCAUAACUAAUUCUUCGAAGAUUCCGUAGUAUUAUUAUCUUAUCUUUGUGAUUGAGAUUGAUUGUGAUUGUUCUCGAGUAUUGUCAUUUAUUCUGAUUUGAUUUUUAUUUUGAAUCGCUUAUUUUUUAAAAGUAUUCCACAGUUGUCGGGAGUAUUAUUAUGUGAUGAUUUAAUCCAAAAUAUUGUGAGUUUGUACUGUUUUGAGAAGGGCGAGUGAAGUAUUUUUUUUGGAUUUUAUUUGACAUUGAAUGAGGGAUUAGGGAGUCAUGAGUAUGAGUUUUCUCGGUCUUUAUAUUUUAUGUUUUCAUCGGUAAAAAUUCUGUUUUGAUGUUAAGUUCGAAGAAUGACGAUGUUGAAUGAUAUUAUGAAGGUCUAUAAAAUGGUAUGAGAAGCACGAUAUGACAUGCCACGAAUCUCAUGAUGAGAUAAACAAUAUGACAAGAAUUAGGCUACAAAUAGUCGUUAAAUAGUUUGUUUGAUUGUAGUUAUUGAUAUUUUUAUGAUUGUUUAUAGGUGAUAAGAAUGAAUACUGGUAUAUUAUUCCUUAUGUGAAAUCAUAGAUACAGAUUUCCAUACUGAGUCAGUUGAGACUCACCCAUUUUGCUUUGCUAUGUUGUAUCGUGUUAUAAAAUUUAUAGGAUGGGGAGGUUGAUGAAGCCACGUUGAAUGGAUACAGGAGGGUGGAGCAUAGUUAACAUCAUGAGUAGUGGUGCUUCAUCUUGAUGAAUAUUAUGAACUCCGUUGGUGCAUGUUUAUUAUUUAUAACAAUAUUCUAGAGUCUUACUAGUAAAUGAUGGUGUUCUGGACUUUAUUCACAAAUUUUGAACUUUUAUUUUAUUGACAUAUUAUUAUGUUGAUUCUCGACAUUAGGAAAAGUACAACAUGUUUGUUUGUUUUCACCUGAUGGUUUAAAUGUUCAGAUUGAUAUUAUUAACAUCCCAUGUUACACCAAGUCAUCUUAUCGUAAGAGGAUGUUACACCAAGUCAUUCUGAUUUUGACUUUUUGUUAUCUCAUGUUGGCUUAUCCCAGUAGGUGAACUGUUGUUAUCGGUCUGGUCAGACUCCAUGCUAUUACCUUGGAUUGAUUCCACCGAAACCGUUAUUGGUAAAAUCCCCAAAUCAGGUAUUAUUUUCACCCAAAUUAAUUUUUGUAGAAAUAUCAUCUCGGUCCCCAAAUACUUCUUUGUUUAAGGAAAAGUCCUCCUCGCCAAACUUGACGUCCCGAGAAGCGUAAAUCCUCCGGCUGAUCGGCUAAAAAAAUAG
rnacentral:lncRNA from 1 species